GAGAGAGAUCUUCUUACUGUGCAUUCCAGGAAUGAAACCAUGGAUGUAUAGAGCUACAAGUAUAAGGCAGCAAAAAAUGCUUUCAUUAGGCGACAUGAGAAGACUCGAUCUGUCUAGUGUUGACACAGGCAAAGUCAUGUCUUCUCAUCUCUUCAGCCAGCUGAGAAGUGAUGCUAGGUUCUGUACAGUAAAAAGGUAACGUGUGCCUCCUUGUGUCCAUACCUAACCACCAAAAGUCUGCCAGUAGUGCAACCAACUCAGAGAUGUGUAACAAAAUGAUGAGGGCUUGGGUUUAGUCACUCAAGUCUCACUGGACUGGGGUGAUGUACCUUGCCUAAUUUCUGUCCUAUCAGUUUCAAAUAAAGGUAGUAGCAUUCAUGUCUGUCUACA
rnacentral:lncRNA from 1 species